rnacentral:rRNA from 1 species
CCUACGGGAGGCAGCAGUGGGGAAUAUUGCACAAUGGGGGGAACCCUGAUGCAGCGACGCCGCGUGAGUGAAGAAGUACUUCGGUAUGUAAAGCUCUAUCAGCAGGGAAGAAAAUGAACGUUCCUGACUAAGAAGCCCCGGCUAAAUACGUGCCAGCCGCCGCGGGAAUACGUAGGGGGCAAGCGUUAUUCGGAUGUAAGGGGUGGAAAGGGAGCGUUGACGGCAGAGCAAAGCUGAAGUGAAAGCCCGCCGCCCAACUGGGGGACUGCUUUUGAAACUGCCCGGCUAGAGUGCUGGAGAGGUAAGCGGAAUUCCUAGUGUAGCGGUGAAAGGCGUAGAUAUUAGGAGGAACACCAGUGGCGAAGGCGGCUUACUGGACAGUAACUGACGUUGAGGCUCGAAAGCGUGGGGAGCAAACAGGAUUAGAUACCCCGGUAGUC